rnacentral:SRP_RNA from 1 species
GCUGGCACAGUGGUGUGUGCCUGUAGUCCCAGCUACUGGGGAGGCUAAGGUGGGAAGAUUGCUUGAGCCCAGGAGCUCUGGGCUCUAGCACAGGCUAUAACCAAUUGGGUGUCUGCACUAAGUUUGGCAUCUAUAUGGUGACCUCCCAGGAGCUGGAGUGGGGAUUGGGGACCUCCAGGUUGCCUAAGAAAGAGUGACCCAGCCCAGGUCAGAAACAGAGCAGGUCAAAACUCCUCGUGCUGAUCAGUAGUGAGGUCAUGCCUAUGAGUCGCCACUGCACUCCGGUCUGGAACUUGCAUUGUGAAAUCA